GUCGAGCGGACAGAUGGGAGCUUGCUCCCUGAAGUCAGCGGCGGACGGGUGAGUAACACGUGGGCAACCUGCCUGUAAGACUGGGAUAACUCCGGGAAACCGGGGCUAAUACCGGAUAACUCUUUUCCUCACAUGAGGAAAAGCUGAAAGAUGGUUUCGGCUAUCACUUACAGAUGGGCCCGCGGCGCAUUAGCUAGUUGGUGAGGUAACGGCUCACCAAGGCCACGAUGCGUAGCCGACCUGAGAGGGUGAUCGGCCACACUGGGACUGAGACACGGCCCAGACUCCUACGGGAGGCAGCAGUAGGGAAUCUUCCGCAAUGGACGAAAGUCUGACGGAGCAACGCCGCGUGAGUGAUGAAGGUUUUCGGAUCGUAAAACUCUGUUGUCAGGGAAGAACAAGUACCGGAGUAACUGCCGGUACCUUGACGGUACCUGACCAGAAAGCCACGGCUAACUACGUGCCAGCAGCCGCGGUAAUACGUAGGUGGCAAGCGUUGUCCGGAAUUAUUGGGCGUAAAGCGCGCGCAGGCGGUUCCUUAAGUCUGAUGUGAAAGCCCCCGGCUCAACCGGGGAGGGUCAUUGGAAACUGGGGAACUUGAGUGCAGAAGAGAAGAGUGGAAUUCCACGUGUAGCGGUGAAAUGCGUAGAGAUGUGGAGGAACACCAGUGGCGAAGGCGACUCUUUGGUCUGUAACUGACGCUGAGGCGCGAAAGCGUGGGGGAGCAAACAGGAUUAGAUACCCUGGUAGUCCACGCCGUAAAACGAUGAGUGCUAAGUGUUAGAGGGUUUCCGCCCUUUAGUGCUGCAGCAAACGCAUUAAGCACUCCGCCUGGGGAGUACGGCCGCAAGGCUGAACUCAAAGGAAUUUGACGGGGGCCCGCACAAGCGGUGGA
rnacentral:rRNA from 1 species